UGUGCUUAGUCCAUCACUUCCAGCGUUCUUUCUUGCUGUCAUCCAUAAGGUUGCGAGAAGCGAGUGGAUCCUCGUUGGGUGAAAUCGUUGUUGGAGGCUUGCAAGAACAAAGAUCCAUUGCAACAUUCUUCUGGCUGCAAUCAAACCAACAAAUUCUUCCCCAGUUUCUGCGUUACCUGCUUGCAAUUAUACUGCAAAUUCUGCCUUAAAGCAACCAAUAAUCACCCACAUGAAAACCAUAUAGUACUUCCCGUUUACAAGGCUUCGCGCGAGAACUGUUUGUAUGCAAAUCAGGUGUCCAAGUUACUUGAUAUCUCAGACAUACAUCCUUUCAUUAUUAAUCAUAAACAAGUAGUUUUCGUCAACAGAAGAUCAUGUGAACAAACCAAGUCUCAGAGUAAUAAAUCUUGCUACACGUGCAAGACCUGUGGAAGAGAAUUCCAAAGAGAGAGUAAGUUCUGCUCAGUCCAGUGCAAGAGUGAAAGUGGUGAGAAUUUAGAGCUGAAACAAAAACCC